rnacentral:lncRNA from 1 species
CCCCCAGGCCAGGCCUGCUGCUGCCCUGCUGAAUUCAGGCAGAUAUGUCUCACUGAUUUAUUUUGAUGUCCCCCUGAAACGAACACAACUGACAGACCCGUGUCGAGGCUGCAGUCGCCACUCACUGCAAGGGAGCUCCAUCUGCAGAAGCUGAGGAGUCUGAUCUCACCGUCGUGCCUCGUGCUGGGACUUUUUAUUCACCUGCCAGAAGCACCUCAGACAAUCGUCUAUCUCUUCUGUUUCACGGAGGCUAGGGAAGCUUCUUCUAUACAGAGUAACGUACCCCAAACACCCAGCUAUUUUAUGGCGGUGCAGGCCUUCCUCAGCUUAUAAUGGGGGUCUGUCCUG